rnacentral:rRNA from 1 species
GAUGAACGCUGGCGGCGUGCCUAACACAUGCCAGUCGAGCGGCAGCGAGGGGUGCUUGCACCCUGUCGGCGAGCGGCGGACGGCUGAGUAACGCGUGGGAACGUGCCCCAAAGUGAGGAAUAACUGCCCGGAAGGGUAGCUAAUACCGCAUAUUAUCUUCGGAUCAAAGGAUUUAUCCGCUUUGGGAGCGGCUCGCGUCGGAUUAGGUAGUUGGUGAGGUAAUGGCUCACCAAGCCGACGAUCCGUAGCUGGUCUGAGAGGAUGACCAGCCAGACUGGAACUGAGACACAGUCCAGACUCCUACGGGAGGCAGCAGUGAGGAAUCUUCCACAAUGGGCGAAAGCCUGAUGGAGCAACGCCGCGUGAAGGACGAAGGCCUUCGGGUUGUAAACUGCUUUUAUAAGUGAGGAAUAUGACGGUAACUUAUGAAUAAGGAUCGGCUAACUACGUG